UGGCCAGAAAGUUCGUUUGGGUUUUUCCAUAAGAUGUUACAGAAAACCUGAAUGAACUUUUUGGCCAA
rnacentral:miRNA from 1 species